CCUACGGGAGGCAGCAGUGAGGAAUAUUGGUCAAUGGGCGAGAGUCUGAACCAGCCAAGUCGCGUGAAGGAUGACGGCCCUACGGGUUGUAAACUUCUUUUGUCAGGGAGCAAUUGGGUCCACGCGUGGGCUUAGCGAGAGUACCUGACGAAAAAGCAUCGGCGAACUCCGUGCCAGCAGCCGCGGUAAUACGGAGGUUGCGGGCGUUAUCCGGAAUGACUGGGCGUAAAGGGUGCGUAGGUGGUUUAGUAAGUUGGCGGUGUAAUUCCGGGGCUCAACCUCGGCGCUACCGCCGAAACUAGUAGACUAGAGUGCAGGAUGGGUAAGUGGAAUUCCUAGUGUAGCGGUGGAAUGCGUAGAUAUUAGGAGGAACACCAGGGGCGAAGGCGACUUACUGGACUGUAACUGACGCUGAGGCACGAAAGCGUGGGGAGCAAACAGGAUUAGAUACCCGGGUAGUC
rnacentral:rRNA from 1 species